CGCUAUCACUCCUACGGGAGGCAGCAGUGGGGAAUAUUGCACAAUGGGCGCAAGCCUGAUGCAGCCAUGCCGCGUGUGUGAAAAAGGCCUUCGGGUUGUAAAGCACUUUCAGUCGUGAGGAAGGUGGUAGUGUUAAUAGCACUAUCAUUUGACGUUAGCGACAGAAGAAGCACCGGCUAACUCCGUGCCAGCAGCCGCGGUAAUACGGAGGGUGCGAGCGUUAAUCGGAAUUACUGGGCGUAAAGCGCAUGCAGGUGGUUUGUUAAGUCAGAUGUGAAAGCCCGGGGCUUAACCUCGGAAUUGCAUUUGAAACUGGCAGGCUAGAGUCUUGUAGAGGGGGUAGAAUUUCAGGUGUAGCGGUGAAAUGCGUAGAGAUCUGAAGGAAUACCAGUGGCGAAGGCGGCCCCCUGGACAAAGACUGACGCUCAGAUGCGAAAGCGUGGGGAGCAAACAGGAUUAGAUACCCUGGUAG
rnacentral:rRNA from 1 species